ACGACCAAAGCAAAGGACAGCAGAACUGACUGACACAGCUCAGAAAAUAUCCAAAGCUCUGUAUGCUCUGGAAAGGAAGACAAGAAAUGCUAAAGACUCUGGAUAUUGCUCUGUUUCUAUAAGGUCCCACCCAUAUACCAUCUCUUCUUUUGGAUUUCCUUUGGCAGGGUUCCCUUGUAUGGAAGUUCUCAGGAGAACAACACUCUCAGAGUCCCACUGUCUCAAAGAAUUCUUAAUGGACAGCUAUACUUGGCCCCAAGGUUUCAACCUCACACUGAAGAAAGUGACAUAAGAAAACACAAGUCCCAGUGCUAUCAGGGGCUAUCUGGAAAAGCUGCUUAAACAGCAAGUGAAAGAAGGCUCUCCCCUACCCCGUUCUAGAUGACAGGUCCUAUGUAAGAUACACAUACCACAUGCUGUCAACCCAUCUGAGACACUCAGCUUUCAAAUGACAGUUCUUCUCUGAAGCUAACCUAGCCAAAAGAGUGAAAUACACUAUCUGUUAAGCUGUGUCAGUAGCUAAGUCUGUGUGUCUAAAUUAAAAACAU
rnacentral:lncRNA from 1 species